rnacentral:rRNA from 1 species
UACGAAGGGGGCUAGCGUUGCUCGGAAUCACUGGGCGUAAAGCGCACGUAGGCGGAUUGUUAAGUCAGGGGUGAAAUCCUGGAGCUCAACUCCAGAACUGCCUUUGAUACUGGCGAUCUCGAGUCCGGGGGAGGUGAGUGGAACUGCGAGUGUAGAGGUGAAAUUCGUAGAUAUUCGCAAGAACACCAGUGGCGAAGGCGGCUCACUGGCCCGGUACUGACGCUGAGGUGCGAAAGCGUGGGGAGCAAACAGG